UGUAUAUUAUGAACUUUAACUUAAAUAAAGAGAACUAUUCUAGAACAUUUGCCUACCUUUCUUAACAAAGAAACACAUGUUAGUGAGGGAGUGUUUGCUUCCUCACAGAUAGUCUCCAAGAAAGCACCAGGCAGCAGGCUGCUGCUCUCGUGGGUUUACGGAGACAUGCGGUUACUGCUGGAAUCUUCUGAGUGGGCCUCCAUCAUUAUAGCUGACAUGUGAUAUGAAACAGGCAAAAUGAUGUGUACCAGUUUCGGUCUUGUGAAUAGAGAAUGUAAGAUUAAAAGCAUAUUCAGAUACUACUGAUA